AGAGUUUGAUCCUGGCUCAGGACGAACGCUGGCGGCGUGCUUAACACAUGCAAGUCGAACGGAAAGGCCCUUCGGGGUACUCGAGUGGCGAACGGGUGAGUAACACGUGGGUGAUCUGCCCUGCACUCUGGGAUAAGCCUGGGAAACUGGGUCUAAUACCGGAUAGGACCGCAUGCUUCAUGGUGUGUGGUGCAAAGCUUUUGCGGUGUGGGAUGAGCCCGCGGCCUAUCAGCUUGUUGGUGGGGUAAUGGCCUACCAAGGCGACGACGGGUAGCCGGCCUGAGAGGGUGACCGGCCACACUGGGACUGAGAUACGGCCCAGACUCCUACGGGAGGCAGCAGUGGGGAAUAUUGCACAAUGGGCGCAAGCCUGAUGCAGCGACGCCGCGUGAGGGAUGACGGCCUUCGGGUUGUAAACCUCUUUCAGUAGGGACGAAGCGAAAGUGACGGUACCUACAGAAGAAGGACCGGCCAACUACGUGCCAGCAGCCGCGGUAAUACGUAGGGUCCGAGCGUUGUCCGGAAUUACUGGGCGUAAAGAGCUCGUAGGUGGUUUGUCGCGUUGUUCGUGAAAACUCACAGCUUAACUGUGGGCGUGCGGGCGAUACGGGCAGACUAGAGUACUGCAGGGGAGACUGGAAUUCCUGGUGUAGCGGUGGAAUGCGCAGAUAUCAGGAGGAACACCGGUGGCGAAGGCGGGUCUCUGGGCAGUAACUGACGCUGAGGAGCGAAAGCGUGGGUAGCGAACAGAAUUAGAUACCCUGGUAGUCCACGCCGUAAACGGUGAGUACUAGGUGUGGGUUUCCUUCCUUGGGAUCCGUGCCGUAGCUAACGCAUUAAGUACCCCGCCUGGGGAGUACGGUCGCAAGACUAAAACUCAAAGGAAUUGACGGGGGCCCGCACAAGCGGCGGAGCAUGUGGAUUAAUUCGAUGCAACGCGAAGAACCUUACCUGGGUUUGACAUGCACAGGACGUAUCUGGAGAUAGGUAUUCCCUUGUGGCCUGUGUGCAGGUGGUGCAUGGCUGUCGUCAGCUCGUGUCGUGAGAUGUUGGGUUAAGUCCCGCAACGAGCGCAACCCUUGUCCUAUGUUGCCAGCGGGUAAUGCCGGGGACUCGUAGGAGACUGCCGGGGUCAACUCGGAGGAAGGUGGGGAUGACGUCAAGUCAUCAUGCCCCUUAUGUCCAGGGCUUCACACAUGCUACAAUGGCCAGUACAGAGGGCUGCGAAGCCGUAAGGUGGAGCGAAUCCCUUAAAGCUGGUCUCAGUUCGGAUUGGGGUCUGCAACUCGACCCCAUGAAGUCGGAGUCGCUAGUAAUCGCAGAUCAGCAACGCUGCGGUGAAUACGUUCCCGGGCCUUGUACUCACCGCCCGUCAAG
rnacentral:rRNA from 1 species